GAUGAACGCUAGCGGCAGGCUUAACACAUGCAAGUCGAGGGGUAUAGUUCUUCGGAACUAGAGACCGGCGCACGGGUGCGUAACGCGUAUGCAAUCUACCUUUCACAGAGGGAUAGCCCAGAGAAAUUUGGAUUAAUACCUCAUAGUAUAGUACCUUGGCAUCAAGGAACUAUUAAAGAUUUAUCGGUGAAAGAUGAGCAUGCGUCCCAUUAGCUAGUUGGUAAGGUAACGGCUUACCAAGGCUACGAUGGGUAGGGGUCCUGAGAGGGAGAUCCCCCACACUGGUACUGAGACACGGACCAGACUCCUACGGGAGGCAGCAGUGAGGAAUAUUGGUCAAUGGGCGCAAGCCUGAACCAGCCAUGCCGCGUGCAGGAUGACGGUCCUAUGGAUUGUAAACUGCUUUUGUACAGGAAGAAACACUCCCUCGUGACGGGANCUUGACGGUACUGUAAGAAUAAGGAUCGGCUAACUCCGUGCCAGCAGCCGUACGG
rnacentral:rRNA from 1 species